rnacentral:rRNA from 1 species
GUGCCCGCAGCCGCGGUAAUACGGAGGGUGCAAGCGUUAAUCGGAAUUACUGGGCGUAAAGCGCGCGUAGGCGGUUAUUUAAGUCAGAUGUGAAAGCCCCGGGCUCAACCUGGGAAUUGCAUUUGAUACUGGAUGGCUAGAGUGUGGUAGAGGUGAGUGGAAUUUCAGGUGUAGCGGUGAAAUGCGUAGAGAUCUGAAGGAACAUCAGUGGCGAAGGCGACUCACUGGGCCAUUACUGACGCUGAGGUGCGAAAGCGUGGGUAGCAAACAGGAUUAGAUACCCUGGUAGUCCACGCCCUAAACGAUGUCAACUAGGUGUAUGGAGAAUUUAUUCUUUGUGUAUCGAAGCUAACGCGAUAAGUUGACCGCCUGGGGAGUACGGUCGCAAGACUAAAACUCAAAUGAAUUGACGGGGGCCCGCACAAGCGGUGGAGCAUGUGGUUUAAUUCGAUGCAACGCGAAGAACCUUACCUGGCCUUGACAUGUAGCGAAAGAUUGAAGAGAUUCGAUUGUGCCUUCGGGAACGCUAACACA